AGACCAGCGGCCGCACAUUUUUACUGUACUCUAGAUUCCCCUUUAUUUCCUCUUCACCUAGGCUCCCGCCCCACCCAGCGCCAGACCACGCCCCUGCGCGUGACGUCAGUACGCCUCGUGCGUCGCGUCGCGGCGCUUGCUGGGGGCCCGGCUUUCGCCCGCUGCUGCCGCCGCCGCCGCCGGCCGCGGCUGCUCUCCCAAGAUGGCGGCUCCUCCGGGCGAGUACUUCAGCGUUGGGAGCCAGGUGUCGUGCCGGACGUGCCAGGAGCAGCGGCUGCAGGGCGAGGUGGUAGCCUUCGACUACCAGUCCAAAAUGCUGGCUCUAAGUAUCCUUCUCUGCGUGGACCCCGAGGCCGGGCCGGCGUGUAGGUGCGGUGGUGGGGGGGCGGGGGACGGCGGCGGCAGCUAGGGCCCUCUCCCGGCCUAGGGGCGACCGGCUACCGCGGUGCCCCGGGCGCAUGCGCACGGCUCUGAACUCCCCUCCCCCUCCCGCGGGCCUUUCGGUCCAUUUUGGGGACCCUUGUCUCCCACCCCUUGUGGGAGCUAGGCCCCGACUGAGGGUUGGUAGGUGGAGCAGGGCUUGACACGCGCCUGGCUUUUCGGGAGGGGACGAUGUGUUAAGGGGACUCCGUGAUUAAGGGAGGGGGAUAGUGGUAAGGAGAGGGCUGGAGAUUGGA
rnacentral:lncRNA from 1 species